rnacentral:rRNA from 1 species
GAUGAACGCUAGCGAUAGGCCUAACACAUGCAAGUCGAGGGGCAUCACAUGAAGUAGCAAUACGGAUGGUGGCGACCGGCGCACGGGUGAGUAACACGUAUGCAACCUGCCUUCAACAAGGGGAUAACCCGUUGAAAGACGGACUAAUACCCUAUAACACAGGGGUCCCGCAUGGGAAUAUUUGUUAAAGGACAACCGGUUGAAGAUGGGCAUGCGUUCCAUUAGCUAGUUGGCGGGGUAACGGCCCACCAAGGCAACGAUGGAUAGGGGGAACUGAGAGGUUUAUCCCCCACACUGGUACUGAGACACGGACCAGACUCCUACGGGAGGCAGCAGUGAGGAAUAUUGGUCAAUGGGCGAGAGCCUGAACCAGCCAAGUCGCGUGCAGGAAGAAUGUCCUAUGGAUUGUAAACUGCUUUUGCAGGGGAAUAAAGUGAGCCACGUGUGGUUUUUGUAUGUACUCUGCGAAUAAGGAUCGGCUAACUCCGUGCCAGCAGCCG